rnacentral:rRNA from 1 species
UGCCAGCAGCCGCGGUAAUACAUAGGGUGCAAGCGUUAAUCGGAAUUACUGGGCGUAAAGCGUUCACAGGCGGUUUUAUAAGUCAGAUGUGAAAUCCCCGAGCUCAACUUGGGAACUGCGUUUGAAACUGUAAAACUAGAGUGUGUCAGAGGGGGGUAGAAUUCCAUGUGUAGCAGUGAAAUGCGUAGAUAUGUGGAGGAAUACCAAUUGCGAAGGCAGAUUACUAACAAUUAACUGACGCUGAGGGACGAAAGCGUGGGUAGCGAAGAGGAUUAGAUA